GUGCUCGCUUUGGCAGCACAUCUACUAAAAUUGGAACAACACAGAGAAAAUUAGCAUGGCCCCUGCGCAAGGAUGACACGCAAGUUUGUGAAGCAUUCCAUAUUUUU
ensembl:snRNA U6 U6 spliceosomal RNA